UGUCCCAUGGUAUAAUGGUUAGCACUUUGGACUCUGAAUCCAACAAUCCGAGUUCGAGUCUCGGUGGGACCU
rnacentral:tRNA from 1 species